rnacentral:rRNA from 1 species
UGAGUGCGAGCGGCUACGGCCGCGAAGUGGGUGAUGUCAAGCUUCCAAGAAAAGCCCUAUACCCGUUAAGGCAUGAUGGCCUGUACCCGAAACCGACACAGGUGGGGUGGUAGAGAAUACCGAGGGGCGCGAGGUAACUCUCUCUAAGGAACUCGGCAAAAUGGCCCCGUAACUUCGGGAGAAGGGGUGCCACCGCAAGGUGGUCGCAGUGAAGAGGCCCAGGCGACUGUUUACCAAAAACACAGGUCUCCGCUAAGUCGCAAGACGAUGUAUGGGGGCUGACGCCUGCCCAGUGCCGGAAGGUUAAGGAAGCUGGUCAGCGCAAGCGAAGCUAGCGACUGAAGCCCCGGUGAACGGCGGCCGUAACAAUAACGGUCCUAAGGUAGCGAAAUUCCUUGUCGGGUAAGUUCCGACCCGCACGAAAGGCGUAACGAUCUGGGCGCUGUCUCGGAGAGAGGCUCGGCGAAAUAGAAUUGUCUGUGAAGAUGCGGACUACGUGCACCCGGACAGAAAGACCCUAUGAAGCUUUACUGUAGCUUGGUAUUGUGCCCGGGCUCUGAAUGCGCAGGAUAGGUGGGAGGCUUUGAUCCAUGGCUUGCGGGUCAUGGUGAGCCAACGGUGAGAUACCACUCUUUCAGAGCUAGGGUUCUAACGGUCACCCGUCAUCCGGGGACCGGACAGUAUCAGGUGGGCAGUUUGACUGGGGCGGUCGCCUCCUAAAAGGUAACGGAGGCGCGCAAAGGUUUGCUCAGGCUGGUUGGAAAUCAGCCGACGAGUGCAAAAGCAGAAGCAAGCUUGACUGUGAGACCUACAAGUCGAACAGGGACGAAAGUCGGCUUUAGUGAUCCGACGGUUCUGAGUGGAAGGGCCGUCGCUCAACGGAUAAAAGUUACUCUAGGAUAACAGGCUGAUCUCCCCCAAGAGUUCACAUCGACGGGGAGGUUUGGCACCUCGAUGUCGGCUCAUCGCAACCUGGGGCUGAAGUCGGUCCCAAGGGUUGGGCUGUUCGCCCAUUAAAGCGGUACGCGAGCUGGGUUCAGAACGUCGUGAGACAGUUCGGUCCAUAUCCGGUGCACGCGCAGGAACAUUGAGAGGAUUUCUCCCUAGUACGAGAGGACCGGGAGGAACGCACCUCUGGUGUGCCAGUUAUCGUGCCAACGGUAAACGCUGGGUAGCCAUGUGCGGAGUGGAUAACCGCUGAAAGCAUCUAAGUGGGAAGCCCACCUCAAGAUGAGUGUUCCCAUGGCAUAAGCCAGUAAGGUCACGGGAAGAACACCCGUUGAUAGGCUCUACGUGGAAGCCGGGUAACCGGUGAAGCGGAGGAGUACUAAUAGACC